rnacentral:sRNA from 1 species
GCCAGGCACAGUGGUGUGCGCCUGUAAUCUCAGUGGCUUGGGAGGCUGAGACAGGAGGAUCGGGAGUUCCAAGCCACUCUCAGCAAAAGUGAGGCACUAAGCAACUCAGUAAGACCCUGUCUCUA